ACUCACGCGGCUGGCACCUGGAGGCCGCAGGGACCUGCCCUUUCCUCCCCUUAACGGUUUUUUCCUGCUGGCGGAGGUCAUUCUAGGAGGUGGGUCCCAAGCUGACCUCGCUCAGCCUUGGCCUUCCUCACCCUGACAUAUUCUUGGCUUUUCUUUACCCACUUAAGCACCCACUGACAGCGACCCCUUCAAAUUGGACAUAAGGGGUUUUUUUGGAAAGGACCGUAUUUCUCAAAGUUCUGAGACUUUUGAGGGGCAGUAUUUCAAACAUAUCAUGUAAAUUCACAGAGAGGGGAACAGUCAAGUGUAGCUAGAGUACUACUGCUGAAAAUGUUAAUACCUCUUACAACCAGGACUCUCCUAAGUUUGCCAGGUCACGUGAAUUUAAAAUUAACCAAGACACAGAAUCCUGGAAUACCGUUGGAAUUCUGCUGUUCUGGUACUCUUUUCUGCAUUACCAACAGCUAAGAAUUUUAGCCAUGGGAAGAACUUUUCUCAUUCUCCGUAAGGCCAAAAAGGAAAAGGCAUUUGCCUGUGUUUAUAAUUGUUAACAAGCUUUUCAACGAUUAAACUACCUUUGAUAACACAAAUGAUAUCAUUGAAUUGGAACUCCACUCUGCCACUUACAGUGAUAAGGCAAGAAACCUCUCUUCCUCUUGGCUUGGGAAGCUCCCACUUGGAAUUCCCUUCUUUUAUUGCCAUUAACUGACUAGCUUCUAUUUCAAUAAUUGCUUUUUAGGAAUACAGAGUUGGACUCCAAGAGAGAUGGACCCACCAAACCCAGGAGGGUCCAAGCUGCUUUACACCUAGAAACUAGAGAGGAUUGAGGAUAUUUUUCUUGUUAAAACCCAGAACUGGAGGAUCCUAGGGGUUAUGGAGGAGAAACAGUAUUAAUCAGCCGUGGGCCUUGAAUUUUAAAAUAUUUCAAAGGAAAGUUUUUAUAAGGGGUUUCAUAGACUUGAAAGAUAAGUGGAUAUGAAGACAGACCUCAGUGUGAAAAAGUGAAGGACUUGAACGACUUUAAGACGUGCCUUGUUUUCCAUAAAGAUGACAAAAAACUGCUGCAGACAUUUGUAAAAUAUAAAGCACUAAAAAAGGAAGAAAAUUAAAAAAAAAUAAAAACCCGAAGCAGGACAACUAUUAAUAACAGACCCACAGAUCUACAUCUCCAAGCCUAAACUUUUUUCAGAAACCCAGGCUUGUAUCACUGCCUGUCUACUGAGAUUUCCAUUUAGCUGGCUAGGAGACCUAAACAAACUGUCUGCAAAACGUGACCUAGAAUCCGUCUUCUCAUCCUUCCUGCUGUCACUCUUAUGCAGGCCACUGUUUUCCUUCACUUGGACCAGAAUGUAGCUCUCUAACUGACUUCCCCUCUUCUACUCUUUCUCACCUCUACUCCAUUCUCUGUACCAGUGUUUCUCACACUUUAAUGUGCAUAUGAAUCACCUAGGGAUCUUAAUUGAGUUCCGAUGUGGUGCUUCAGAUUGCAUUUUUAACAAGCUCAGAAGUGAUUCUGAUGCUGGUGGUUGGGGACACAGUUUGGUGAGACUCUACACUGAGUAAAUCAGACGAUGUCAUUUAGCAACUUAAAUAGCAUAGUAUUUCACUUAGGGUAAAAUAGAAACAGCUUAUCAUUCUCUAACAAGGCUUGUAUAAUCUGGACCCUGACUACCUUUCCAGCCACUUUUCUCAUCAUUUUCCAGUUUUACUAUGCUCUAGUCACACUGACUUUCCUGGAACUCAGUGAAUUUGUUGUAUAAUAGCCUCUAAGAUUAUUUGCUUGCUGUUCUCUCUGUUGGAAAUUUUCAGGGAGCUGAGCUCUACUUGCUUAAUUUUUUCCAAGCCUUCAUUCCAGCCUCAGCAAAAAUGUCACCUCAUACCUGAGAAACUUCUGAUUAUAGACUCCUCAGUGUCUUCUGUAUAACUUCAAUCUCUUCUAUGCAACAGUUAACAGAAUCUAGGUGUUUGUUUUUCUCCUAUUUAUUGACCUUUCCCUUUAGAACCUAA
rnacentral:lncRNA from 1 species